AUCAAGCAUUUGCAUAGAAAGUUGAUUGAUGCAUAGCAGGCCGAACGAUAUGUUUUUGUCAAUCCAGUAUUGGUCUCAAAAGCUGGAAUGGGAGAGGGAAGCAAGGAAAACAGGUCAAGGGUUAUUGCAGAUCGACUAAAGAAUACAAAGCAUGCUGAAUAUAUGCUUAUUCCAUACAACCCAGAUUUCCAUUGGGUGUUAGUGGCAUUGGAGAUGAAGAAAAUGAUUGCAUAUUACCUUAAUCCAAUGGCCUGUCAACCAUGUGAUGAUCUUAAGGACAUAGUUAACAUGGCAAUGAGAAUCAACCCACCGGAAAAACAGAAAACAUCAAAGAGGGAGCCAACUUGGGUGAAAGUGGUUUGCCCAAGACAACCAGGUAGUGUGGAAUGUGGGUAUUACGUGAUGAGAUAUAUGAAGGAAAUCAUUGCUAAUCCAAACCAACUAACAUCAAAGUUUUGCGGGAAGAAAUCAUAUAGUGAAAUGGAAAUUAAUGAAGUUCAAUCAGAUUGGGUUAUGUUAGUGACUCAGUUAAUCAUUACUCAUGUUUGAAGUUGGCAGUGUUUUCAAUAUGGAUCAUUUUGGGGGUUGCUCUAUUAUGAUUGAUGUAUAGUUGGCAUAUUGAGAGGUGAAGCCAAGUAGACAUGGUUGUACAAAAAGGCAUAGGUCAUUCUAUUAACAAC